rnacentral:rRNA from 1 species
UACGUAGGGUGCGAGCGUUGUCCGGAAUUAUUGGGCGUAAAGAGCUCGUAGGCGGCCUGUCGCGUCGGAUGUGAAAGCCCGGGGCUUAACCCCGGGUCUGCAUUCGAUACGGGCAGGCUAGAGUGUGGUAGGGGAGAUCGGAAUUCCUGGUGUAGCGGUGAAAUGCGCAGAUAUCAGGAGGAACACCGGUGGCGAAGGCAGGUCUCUGGGCCAUAACUGACGCUGAGAAGCGAAAGCAUGGGGAGCGAACAGG